CGCGGGACAACAGCUCGAAAGGGCUGCUAAUACCGCAUAAGUCGGUGACGGCCUUGGCUGUUACCGGGAAAGGAUGGCCUCUUCUAUGCUAUCGCCGGAGGAUGGGCUCGCGGCCCAUCAGCUUGAUGGUGAGGUAAUGGCUCACCAUGGCUAAGACGGGUAGCUGGUCUGAGAGGAUGAUCAGCCACACUGGGACUGAGACACGGCCCAG
rnacentral:rRNA from 1 species